rnacentral:rRNA from 1 species
GACGGACGCUGGCGGCGUGCUUAACACAUGCAAGUCGAACGGAAAGGCCCCAGCUUGUUGGGGUAUUAGCGUGGCGCACGGGUGAGUAACCUGUGGGUGAUCUGCCCUGCACUCUGGGAUAAGCCUGGGCAACUGGGUCUAAUACCGGCUAGGACCGUGCUUUAGUGUGUGCGGUGGAAAGUUUUUCGGUGCAGGAUGAGCCCGCGGCCUAUCGGCUUGUUGGUGGGGUAAUGGCCUACCAAGGCGGCGACGGGUAGCCGGCCUGGGAGGGUGUACGGCCACAUUGGUACUGCGACACGGCCCAGAGUCCAACAGGGGACAGCAGUGGGAAAUAUGGCACAAUGGUCGCGAGCGUGAUGCAGCGACGCCGCGUGGGUGAUGACGGCCUUCUGGUUGGAAACCCCUGUCGGCAGGGACGAAGCUUUUGUGACGUUACCUGCAUAAGAAGCACCGGCUAACUACGUG